rnacentral:rRNA from 1 species
AACGAACGCUGGCGGCAGGCCUAACACAUGCAAGUCGAGCGAGCAUUUCGGUGCUAGCGGCGGACGGGUGAAUAACGCGUGGGAACGUGCCCUUUUCUGCGGAAUAGUCCUGGGAAACUGGGGGUAAUACCGCAUACGCCCUUUUGGGGAAAGAUUUAUCGGAGAAGGAUCGGCCCGCGUUGGAUUAGGUAGUUGGUGGGGUAAUGGCCCACCAAGCCGACGAUCCAUAGCUGGUUUGAGAGGAUGAUCAGCCACACUGGGACUGAGACACGGCCCAGACUCCUACGGGAAGCAGCAGUGGGGAAUCUUAGACAAUGGGGGCAACCCUGAUCUAGCCAUGCCGCGUGAGUGAUGAAGGCCUUAGGGUUGUAAAGCUCUUUCAGCUGGGAAGAUAAUGACGGUACCAGCAGAAGAAGCCCCGGCUAACUCCGUG